rnacentral:lncRNA from 1 species
GGUGGGGAUUUUGUCUUACAACUCAAGAAGAUGUUUUGCUAAAACAUCUUCCUAGUUUCAUUGUUACUGUGAUUUAACGCUCUGACCAAAAGCAACUUAGGGGAGUUGCUUAUGUUUCUAGGUCAUAGUCCAUUGAAGGAAGUCAAGAGAGGAACUUGAAGGUAGGUCUGCUAUUCCACACAGCAUUGUCUCUGGCCAAGGAACUCAAUGAAGUGCGGCUGAAAGAAUGCUGCCUAAAAGCUGGCUUUCACAGUACAACAGCCUUGAUGGCAUGGAGGAGCUGGAUCCAAGAGCAUGAGAUCAGGAGAGCUGAUCCCGCCCCUGCAACAUUGGGGAAAGGCACUUAGGGAGAACAGACCAUGGAACUUCACAGAGGAAAGAAGAAAGGAAGGAAGAAGGAAGCAAGGAAAGCUGAAAUCAAGCCCAGACAGACAAGAGCUGUUUUGAAUGUGUUCCUGGAUGGUAUAUGUACAUAUGUGGCAGAGUAUGUAAAAUAUGUGAGAGUGCCCUCCAAGGCAAGAGGACAUUGGAUCCCCAGUGAUCCUCUGGUUUUAGGGUGUUGGGAGCCCUGGGUCUUGUGGAAGAGCAGUAAGUGCUCUUAACCACUGAAUCAUCUCUCCAGCGUGAAUUUUUAAAUUCUCUCUAGAGUGAAUUUUUAACCAUGUAAGUAUGGGAAUUUAAGGAAACAGAUAUUUCAGAGCCAGUACAGUGAUCUGGGGAAGAUGAACAAUGAAUUAUUCAUUGGUUAUGUAUCAGUUUUGUCAAAACAACAAGCAAAAGCAAAACAAACAAACAACAACAAAAACCAAUGAACCAACCAACCAACCAAACAAACAAAACAACUGACCUGAACAGGUUCAAGAAGAACAUAUUGUCAUAGCAGAAAACAAAGAUUUGACAGGAUGGGUGGGACAUUCGGUGCAGGGACAACAAAAGACACAAAUGCUCACAAAAAACAAAUCAAUCAACGGAGAACUGAUGGGAAAGGCUCUUGCUUCAAAGCCUAGGGUCACACCAGUGAGUGGUCAUUAUAGGACAUCACUUGAGGGUUAGGUCCUUUUUCUUCAUCAGAGCUUUGGAAGAAACCUUUUCGAUGGAAAUGUCCUCAGGAAUGACCACCAAGAAAAUUACAAAGGACUUUGGUCAAUGUUGCAGAGUGCUCCCAAUUAAUCUGUGGAGAAAUUAUGCCCCCUUAGGAAAAGAAAAUAAAAUUGUAUCCAUUUAGAAAACAUGAAAGACUCGAGCUCUGAGAUAUAGCAGAUGGGGUGGCAGGGUUCUGUUUAAACCAACACAGUUGGCCCCAGCUCUUUCUAAUUCCCAGGUCAGCACACGUGGUCUUUGAGGCUGCCUUCAUUGUGCUUCCCUAUCCUUCAUAGUGUAGGCACACUACACAAACAAGCACACACACUCUACCCACAGCAUGAUAGGUACUGCUGUGGUGUGUGUGUGUGUGUGUGUGUGUGUGUGUGUGUGUGUGUGUGUCUGUCUGUCUGUCUCUCUCUCUCUCCAUCCCUCUCUCUCCCCCCUUCUCUCUCUCUUCUCUCCCCUCUUUCUCUCUUCUUUCUCUCUUCUCUCCUCCCUUUCUCUCUCCUCUCUCCCAACAAACAAAUAUCUUCGUGUAUGUGUGUCAGUCUCUUUAUGAGUAUGUGAGUAUGGACAGAUAUGUGUCACUGCUCAUGUGUGAGGGUCGAAGGACAACCUCAAGUGUCUUCC